GACAGAGGGUGCAAACGUUGUUCGGAAUUACUGGGCGUAAAGGGCGCGUAGGCGGCGGUGUUAGUCAGGCGUGAAAGCCCUGGGCUCAACCUGGGGACUGCGCUUGAUACGGCAUUGCUAGAGGAUGGAAGAGGGUCGCGGAAUUCCCAGUGUAGAGGUGAAAUGCGUAGAUAUCAGGAGGAACACCGGUGGUGUAGACGGCUUUCUGGACCGUAACUGACGCUGAGACACGAAAGCGUGGGUAGCAAACAGG
rnacentral:rRNA from 1 species